GACCUUGAACUGUUUGAAAAAUUACUAGGAAAGCUUUGCUAUAGUACAAAAGAAGCAGACAGAGUGGCACCGUGUGUGAGAGACAGUGUGUGCUGAUGCUCAGAACUUAACGUGCGGAUGAGCAUGACGCAUAAGCUGAACGAGGAUACAAUAACGGAACGAUUACCUUUACCGAGCUUCUCAAUGAGGCUAUAACACUGGGCAGUAUUACUGAAACGAAGGACAUGAGGAAGCUAAAUUUCAGUACAAAACUAAAAUACGAUUGAAUAAAGUCUUUUGCGUCAACUCGUGUAACACCGAAGCUGUGUUUGGAGGCGGUUCGCUUCGUAUGGUCAGAGCACUAUUAAACGAUGGGUGUACAGAUUGUUGUCGAUAUCGUAGCUACUCACGCGUCAGUCGUACCCAGCUAAAGACCAGUAGAACUCAAUAUAAUUAAUCUAUUUGAUGUGACGUAAACGUUUGUACUGAUGAUAGCUUGGUCAUCGUAGAAAUUGGAGCACCUCGAGACGCACUUGCGGUAUCUCAAAGGAGAAUACGACAAAGCCGACGACUUCGUCAACGGGUGAGGUUUGAAACUGAGGAUCGAUCGAUAUCGAAAAACCAGGGAAAAGGGGAGUGCCAGACUAACGAAAACCGUACGCGGCUACGAGUGAAUCGACUACACCUAAACGCCAUUUAGUUCGAAGGAAUAUCGAACUAUGGCUGACAACGACGGCAAUGACGCCCGCUUGGGGAAGAUUCU